rnacentral:rRNA from 1 species
UGAGGAAUAUUGGGCAAUGCCCGCAAGGGUGACCCAGCAACGCCGCGUGGAGGAUGAAUGUCGUAAGAUUGUAAACUCCUGUUAGAGGGGAAGAAUAGUACCGGUUGGACCGGUAUAUGACUGUACCCUCAGAGAAAGCCCCGGCUAACUACGUGCCAGCAGCCGCGGUAAUACGUAGGGGGCAAGCGUUGUCCGGAUUUACUGGGUGUAAAGGGCGCGCAGGCGGGAUAAAAAGUCAGUGGUGAAAUCCUACAGCUUAACUGUAGAACUGCCUUUGAUACUGUUAUUCUUGAGUUCGGGAGAGAGAGACGGAAUUCCAGGUGUAGUGGUGAAAUACGUAGAUAUCUGGAAGAACACCAGCUGCGAAGGCGGUCUCUUGGUCCGACACUGACGCUGAGGCGCGAAAGCGUGGGGAGCAAACA